GAACUUCUCGCGAGCUCCCACGAGAUGUGGACGACAUAAAGGAAGUCCGGACGCCCUGGGAACCUCGCUGUGGUGAAUUCCCAUAUCCUUCGUUGUGUUUCUCAGACGCAGCGUGUACUUUUAUUUUUGCUUUUAUCUUCUUUUUCUCCUGUUCUGCCCACGUUCUCUCUGUAGAGCAAGAAGGACCUGGACUACUUUGGAUUGGCGAACCAUUGCUAAAGGAACUACCAGACAACAGAGGCACUGAACAGAUACUAUUUGCCAGAAAGAUUUCACCUCUUUGAGUACUGAAGACUUUCGUUUCAUAAGAUUAAAUUUAAUGCCAGAAUUCUUUACUGGAACUGGAGGAAAAAGAGAUGCACAUCAGGAAACAGCUGAUAAUGUGAAUCUGGAGUAUGAUCCAACAAGAGCAAGGGUUUGCCUUUAACCAAGUCAGAAAGGACCCAGUCUUUGUGAACUCUGGGGAUCAAACUCAGGAUGUUGUGUUUGUCAGGCAGAUGCAGUGCCACUGAGCUACAUCCCCAGCCCCAAGAAUGGCUUUUCUCUAAGAAGAUGUACACUGAAGAUUUUAGGGAUAAAGGGACAUAUGAGUUAUGAUUGCAAAAUACAGUGAAUGUUUGAACUGAAAAAAUAAUUAUUACAGUAAAAAACACAUGGCCAUUAAUCUUCUCCAAAAUUCUCCCCC
ensembl:lncRNA